CGCCUAGGCAGCCACUGGACACCUGCAACUGCUUACAGGACUGAAAGCAGGUGAGGCACACAGGGCUGGACGAAGCUGCGUGGGGGGAGGGGGUGGUCUGAGGGACCCGGGUUCCUGUGAAUGGGGCUGGUUUGCAGGUCAGGGCAUGGGCAUUUUCCUAAUAGGCGACGAAGACUGUGAAGUUUGACGGUCUGGAAAGCAGAGGCCAGCCGCGCUAUCUGAGAGGUAAGUUCUGGAAUCAUGCCACGAGGUGGGGUGCAGGCAUAAGUCCUAGUUAAGACCUCUCCGUGUCUCCCCUACCUACCGCCGGAAAGCGCGCCUGGAAGGAGUGGAGGGGAAAAAACUGGUUCCCAAGAGGGAGAACAGAGGGGAUUGGAGUGACCUGGGGAGGAGAGGAAAGCAAAUCAAGUUUCUUCACCACGGAAGGAAAUUGCUAUUUAUUUCAGCACCGAGACUCCGGACAGCGCCGCUCGGGGUCCAGGAAGCGAGCCACAACCUGCUUCAGCACCAGAGCUCCGGACAGCUCCUAGGGAUUUCGGGGCCGACUUCAUUUCAGGACCAAGAGGCUGGAUAGCUUCCCUGGUACCGGGAAGCCCUCGUACUCACAAGGAGGAGGGGCGGGGUGGGGGUGGGGGGCGGGCGGCGUGGGGCGGGGGGUGGUAUAGAGGGUGGUCUGAAGUGUCUGACGUUUCUGGAGACUUGUUCUUCAUUUAAUGAAUCUCUCAACGAAUUAUUUUUCAGACAAGGAGGUGAGAUAAAAGUACACACACACACAAAUCUAAUUUACAACAGGUGACAGUUGAAGAAACUGAGACCCAAAGAGGGGAAAGGAUGUAACAAGCCCAAGAGUGAAGCUGCAAGUCAACCCCACAGCUUCCCAACUCCAAAUUCCAUGUUUCCAACAUAGUUGGCUGGGAGUUGGGCCUUUGGGGAUCAGACCCUGCCUCUCUCCAGGAGGACCAGAAAUGCACACCAGGAGACAGUGGAUAACAGGUGUCAUGGCUUAGCUCAGGUGAGGGGAGAUAACUCGGUGGGGAUCAAAGACAUGGGGCAGACGGUGGCGAAGAAGACUGGAGCGGUUGUGGUCUAGUG
ensembl:lncRNA